GGCUCGGCCAUGUUGUCUUAGUCACCAGAGUGAGAUAUUCAGGAAGGCAGCCCUGCAGUGAAGAGUCUUUCUUUCUAACCUCCAGCUCUUGACUGAUUUCAUUAAUCAAGAUGAGAAGAGAUCCGCUCCUCUUCAUAGCAGUUAACUGUAAAAUCCUAAAGAAACAGAGAAGAUGUGUUCUUGGAUUUCAGCAAGGAAAGGCAGAUGUGGAAGACUGUGUCCUUUAGUCUGGGGAAGGGACAAAGAAGAACUCUGAUGAGAGACCCACAAAUAUCAGCGCACCAUCGUCCAUCAGUGGAACAAAACAAAGCCAGGGUCUAUGUGAAUGGGAACUGCACACAGCCAGGCAAGGGCACUGAAGCCUCGAGAAAGCACGUGUGUUUAUCUGACGUUACAUCAAGAGGGUAGAAGUGAACCGGAGCACUGUUUCUUCUUAGGCAAACACUGUAUAUUGAACAUUUGUUGAGAGCCCUGGAAAAACAAAAUAUCUCUAAGUUCUGA